UACGUAGGGUGCGAGCGUUAAUCGGAAUUACUGGGCGUAAAGCGUGCGCAGGCGGUUUUGUAAGCCAGAUGUGAAAGCCCCGGGCUUAACCUGGGAAUGGCAUUUGGGACUGCAAGGCUUGAGUGCGGCAGAGGAGACUGGAAUUCCCGGUGUAGCAGUGAAAUGCGUAGAGAUCGGGAGGAACACCGGUGGCGAAGGCGGGUCUCUGGGCAAUUCCUGACGCUGAGGCGCGAAAGCGUGGGGAGCAAACGGG
rnacentral:rRNA from 1 species